rnacentral:rRNA from 1 species
UAUGGGGCCUAACCUGCAAGUCGAACGGCAGCACAGAUAAGCUUGCUCCUUGGGUGGCGAGUGGCGGACGGGUGAGGAAUACGUCGGAAUCUGCCUAUUUGUGGGGGAUAACGUAGGGAAACUUACGCUAAUACCGCAUACGACCUACGGGUGAAAGUGGGGGACCGCAAGGCCUCACGCAAAUAGAUGAGCCAACGUCGGAUUAGCUAGUUGGCGGGGUAAAGGCCCACCAAGGCGACGAUCCGUAGCUGGUCUGAGAGGAUGAUCAGCCACACUGGAACUGAGACACGGUCCAGACUCCUACGGGAGGCAGCAGUGGGGAAUAUUGGACAAUGGGCGCAAGCCUGAUCCAGCCAUGCCGCGUGUGUGAAGAAGGCCUUCGGGUUGUAAAGCACUUUUGUCCGGAAAGAAAAGCUUAAGGUUAAUAACCUUGAGUCAUGACGGUACCGGAAGAAUAAGCACCGGCUAACUUCGUGCCAGCAGCCGCGGUAAUACGAAGGGUGCAAGCGUUACUCGGAAUUACUGGGCGUAAAGCGUGCGUAGGUGGUUUGUUAAGUCUGAUGUGAAAGCCCUGGGCUCAACCUGGGAAUGGCAUUGGAAACUGGCUUACUAGAGUGCGGUAGAGGGUAGCGGAAUUCCCGGUGUAGCAGUGAAAUGCGUAGAUAUCGGGAGGAACAUCUGUGGCGAAGGCGGACUACCUGGACCAGCACUGACACUGAGGCACGAAAGCGUGGGGAGCAAACAGGAUUAGAUACUCUGGUAGUUCACGCCCUUAAACGAUGCGAACUGGAUGUAGGGCGCAACUUGGCCCUCAUUAUCGUAGCUACGCGUUAAGUUCGCCGUCUGGGACGUACGGUUCGACAGAACUGAAACUCAAAGGGGUAUUUGAC